UUACUCACAGGUACAUGGUAUAUUGUAGUAGUACUCACAGGUACAUGGUAUAUUGUAGUAGAACUCACAGGUACAUGGUAUAUUGCAGUAGUACUCACAGGUACAUGGUAUAUUGCAGUAGAACUCACAGGUACAUGGUAUAUUGCAGUAGUACUCACAGGUACAUGGUAUAUUGUAGUAUUACUCACAGGUACAUGGUAUAUUGUAGUAGUACUCACAGGUACAUGGUAUAUUGCAGUAGAACUCACAGGUACAUGGUAUAUUGCAGUAGUACUCACAGGUAC